rnacentral:tRNA from 1 species
CAUCAGAUGACCGAAAGCAGGUAAUGGUCUCUUAAACCAAUUUAUAGUAAAUAACAACUACUUCUGAUGA